GAUGAAGAACGUAGCGAAAUGCGAUAAGUAAUGCGAAUUGCAGAAUCCGUGAGUCAUCGAAUCUUUGAACGCACAUUGCGCCCUCUGGUAUUCCGGAGGGCAUGCCUGUUCGAGCGUCAUUAUCACCCCUCAAGCCCGGCUUGUUGUUGGAUGCAGCGCUUAUCCCGCUCCUCCCAAAGAUAAUGACGGCGUCUGCGACGACUCCUGUACACUGAGCUUUCGGGCACGUACACGGCUAGAAGUCCAGACCCGGUCGCCGUCGCCCCCGCGGGGACACCCAUUACCACAAGGUUGACCUCGGAUCAGGUAGGAAUACCCGCUGAACUUAAGCAUAUCAAUAAGCGGAGGA
rnacentral:misc_RNA from 1 species